rnacentral:rRNA from 1 species
CACGUAGUUAGCCGGUGCUUUUUCUGCAGGUACCGUCACUUUCGCUUCUUCCCUACUAAAAGAGGUUUACACCCGAAGGCCGUCAUCCCUCACGCGGCGUUGCUGCAUCAGGCUUUCGCCCAUUGUGCAAUAUUCCCCACUGCUGCCUCCCGUAGGAGUCUGGGCCGUGUCUCAGUCCCAGUGUGGCCGGUCACCCUCUCAGGCCGGCUACUCGUCGUCGCCUUGGUGAGCCAUUACCUCACCAACAAGCUGAUAGGCCGCGAGUCCAUCCCCAACCAAAAAACUCUUUCCACCACCAGACCAUGCGGCCGGCAGUCAUAUCCAGUAUUAGACGUCGUUUCCAACGCUUAUCCCAGAGUCAGGGGCAGGUUACUCACGUGUUACUCACCCGUUCGCCACUAAUCCACCCAGCAAGCUGGGCAUCAUCGUUCGACUUGCAUGUGUUAAGCACGCCGCCAGCGUCGUCUCGAGCCACGAGUCGAACUAC